rnacentral:rRNA from 1 species
AGAGCCUGAAUCAGUGUGUGUGUUAGUGGAAGCGUCUGGAAAGGCGCGCGAUACAGGGUGACAGCCCCGUACACAAAAAUGCACAUGCUGUGAGCUCGAUGAGUAGGGCGGGACACGUGGUAUCCUGUCUGAAUAUGGGGGGACCAUCCUCCAAGGCUAAAUACUCCUGACUGACCGAUAGUGAACCAGUACCGUGAGGGAAAGGCGAAAAGAACCCCGGCGAGGGGAGUGAAAAAGAACCUGAAACCGUGUACGUACAAGCAGUGGGAGCCUCUUUAUGGGGUGACUGCGUACCUUUUGUAUAAUGGGUCAGCGACUUAUAUUCUGUAGCAAGGUUAACCGAAUAGGGGAGCCGAAGGGAAACCGAGUCUUAACUGGGCGUUAAGUUGCAGGGUAUAGACCCGAAACCCGGUGAUCUAGCCAUGGGCAGGUUGAAGGUUGGGUAACACUAACUGGAGGACCGAACCGACUAAUGUUGAAAAAUUAGCGGAUGACUUGUGGCUGGGGGUGAAAGGCCAAUCAAACCGGGAGAUAGCUGGUUCUCCCCGAAAGCUAUUUAGGUAGCGCCUCGUGAAUUCAUCUCCGGGGGUAGAGCACUGUUUCGGCAAGGGGGUCAUCCCGACUUACCAACCCGAUGCAAACUGCGAAUACCGGAGAAUGUUAUCACGGGAGACACACGGCGGGUGCUAACGUCCGUCGUGAAGAGGGAAACAACCCAGACCGCCAGCUAAGGUCCCAAAGUCAUGGUUAAGUGGGAAACGAUGUGGGAAGGCCCAGACAGCCAGGAUGUUGGCUUAGAAGCAGCCAUCAUUUAAAGAAAGCGUAAUAGCUCACUGGUCGAGUCGGCCUGCGCGGAAGAUGUAACGGGGCUAAACCAUGCACCGAAGCUGCGGCAGCGACGCUUAUGCGU